GUAACUGGUGUAGUUGCUAAGGAGGUAGUGCUUUAUGAACUUCCAAACAUUGAUUGUUAAAUGGCGUUUGAAAGUCCCUUGGCGGCGGGCAAGUUGUUACGUACGAAAUUUAGAAUUAGGUUAAAAGCCCAAGGUAAAAAGAAGAAUGGGCCUGGCAAUAGGGUUGAUUGAACUGGCUGAAGGACACCGUGAGGAAAUCAAGGAAAAUAAAUUUAUUUAUUUAUUUCUAAGGAAAAUACAGGACGGAAAGACCUCAGGACGGAAGGUUCUUAGGUCGGUAGGUCCUCAGGACGGAAAGACCUCAGGACGGAAGGUUCUUAGGUCGGUAGGUCCUCAGGACGGAAAGACCUCAGGUCGGAAGGUCCGCAAGACGGAAAGACCUCAAGUCGGAAGGUCUUCAGGUCGGGAGGUCCGCAAGACGGAAAGACCUCAAGUCGGAAGGUCUUCAGGUCGGGAGGUCCGCAAGAUGGAAAGACCUCAAGUCGGAAGGUCUUCAGGUCGGGAGGUCCGCAAGACGGAAAGACCUCAAGUCGGAAGGUCUUCAGGUCGGGAGGUCCGCAAGACGGAAAGACGAUGAGUCGGAAGGUUUUCAAGUCGGGAGGUCCUCGAGACGGAAAGUCGUCGAGAUGGGAUAUCCGCAGGUCGGGUAAACUGUAGGUCGGAUAGAAGGAGGAGUCGGACAAACGCGGAGGCCUUUGAUCAAAGACAGGGGGCGGUUGAUAUGGAGGUCGGCCCAAGUGGGGUCGGGCGAAGAAGUAGGUCGGACGAAGGACGAAGUCGGGCCAAAAGAGCGGAAGGUCUGUGGUCGGCUCAAGGAGUGAAAUAUAGGGAAUUUUGGUCUGCUGGGGACACGUGUCAGCAUGAGAAAGGUUGGAAGACGGUUGAGAAGGAGACGUUGUAACCGUUCGGGUGACGGUUUUCAGUACGGUUUCCCAGGGAAUAUUUAAGGAUUUGGAUCAUCA